CGAAGCCCCAGUAAACGGCGGCCGUAACUAUAACGGUCCUAAGGUAGCGAAAUUCCUUGUCGGGUAAGUUCCGACCUGCACGAAUGGCGUAACGACCUCCCCACUGUCUCCAGCAUGGGCUCAGCGAAAUUGAAUUCCCCGUGAAGAUGCGGGGUACCCGCGGUCAGACGGAAAGACCCUAUGAACCUUUACUGCAGCUUCGCAGUGGCGCCAGGAAGGGACUGUGUAGGAUAGGUGGGAGGCUUUGAAGC
rnacentral:rRNA from 1 species